rnacentral:rRNA from 1 species
GACGAACGCUGGCGGCGUGCUUAACACAUGCAAGUCGAACGGAAAGGCCCUGCUUUUGUGGGGUGCUCGAGUGGCGAACGGGUGAGUAACACGUGAGUAACCUGCCCUUGACUUUGGGAUAACUUCAGGAAACUGGGGCUAAUACCGGAUAGGAGCUCCUGCUGCAUGGUGGGGGUUGGAAAGUUUCGGCGGUUGGGGAUGGACUCGCGGCUUAUCAGCUUGUUGGUGGGGUAGUGGCUUACCAAGGCUUUGACGGGUAGCCGGCCUGAGAGGGUGACCGGCCACAUGGGGAGUGGGAAACGGCCCAGGGCGCAGAGGGAGGGAGAAGGGGGAAAAAUAGCAAAAAGGGCGGAAGCCGAAUGGGGGAACGCCGGGGGGGGGAAGGGGGCUUUGGGGUGGGAAACCGCUUUAGCCUGUGACGAAGCGUGAGGGGCGGAAAUGGGGAAAAAAACACCGGUUAACUACGU